UCGCUAAGAGGAUUAUCUUCCCUGCAGAAGGCCGAGGUCGGAGUCAAGGCGUUCCAUCUCAAGUGGGACGAGAUCACACUGGACAGCAAUGUGGCCAAGUGGGCUGUGCAUGUGAUCCAGCUGAGCAAGCAGAAACGCCACCUUGACAGAGCUAACCUACUCAACUUUUGGGAGGUGCUCGACAGAGUCGAGUUUCAGCGUACAUGGACACAUGAUGCCGCAAGAAAUGCAUGAUGAGCUUUCACAAGCCACCACCACCACCACCACCACCACAACUCCCUGCUACACUCAUGAUAGCUCGUAUUAUUGAGCUGAAGGCACCCUUUUAGAGCUGCUGAAAAAGAUGCAGCAUUCCAGAACAACGUAGGUGGAUCUUCUUUGUGCUGGCAGCCAAGCUCUGCAUCACCGUGAGGCACACGUCACCAUGGUGUGACCUCAUAGUCAUAUCUACCUGACCCCUUUCAUGCCUUCUCAUGGGCUUGUUGUCCUUUGGCAUCAAGAUGUGUGGGUGCUUCUUUGUUUUUUUGUGUUUUUUUUUUCUUUCUGCUCACCCGGACAGAAACUGCUGUGGAUUGUUUUUGUGUACUUCAAGCGCUGCAGUGGCAUAGCUUCUGCUGGACCUUGAUUGUUCUGGUGGUUUGCAAGAGCUGGCACUGGGCCACUCUUAUUGUUUUGCUUCGCAUUUGAAGCUUAUUGUUAACAUAUGUUGAGGCCACCAUGAAAUGUAUUAAACAGUGUGUCACUGUGCUAGUUUGUGGGGAAUGGGUGUGGGGUGUUCAGGUGUUCUUUUUUUUUUCUUUUUUUCUCAUCCCCCCCCCUCCACCCCACUUCACUCGAAUCAAGGGAAUCAUAGUAAUCCUGUAGUGGAAGAAAGAUUUGACCUCCCAGUGGUGUCAAUGCUGUAAUUUUGCGGCAUCCCUCUUGAUCGUGCAUGCUUAAAGGUGUGACAUCAAGCAACUGAAAUUGUGUCAAUGCUAGAGAAACCUGGUACAAUACCCUCUGACCAUUCUUCACCUGUGUGAGCCUGAGCUGCACCCUGUGGUUCCCUCCCAGUAGUGAACUGUAUUUUGCCAAGCUGCAUAUUCAACCUUGCCUUCCUUCCUGACUGAACUGUUUCAUCCCUGUAUGAUAUUUUUUUUCUUUUUGAAAUGGUUUGAUGACUCCUUUUCUAGUGAAGUGGCUGAUUUAGCUACUUGAAUGAAAUAAACGUCUUAGGCUCACCUCAUGAAAUCCCUUUUUCUUUUCCUUCUCUUUACCUCUGCCAGUCUUCUUCUGCCUAAUUCUACCCACUUCACCAAUAUUCUUGUUCAUUGACAUCAUAGCAAAUCACCAGAUAGUCAUAAAAUUUCACUGAUGUAAAAUAAAAUUUUCACUCUGUGGCAUUCUUGGCCGUAGCAAUCUUUCAAUGGCACUUCAAGAUAUUGUUCUUUCUCUGUCCCCUCCCCCCUUUUUUGUGGUUGUUUUGAAGUGUCAUUUGCAACUAGAGCUUGAUGCAGAUUUUGACUUUGGACACCAUUCAUCGCCGAACCGUGUGAUACGUUUUGGUCUCUAUUUUUUUUUUUUUUUUUGUUGGAGCGCUUUGCAGAGGUUUCUUUAUUGUAUCAUAAGUUGAAAAGUGCAUGCUGUUGUCUGUGUGUCAGUCUUGUCUAACAUUGUGCCUGUAAGACGUAGUCAUUUCUCUCUGCAUAUGAGGAAGGGGAAGUGACUGUUUAGCAAUGUGUUGUGUAAAUAAAGUUCAUCUCGAAGAGUCAA
rnacentral:lncRNA from 1 species